CACUGCAUUCCUGCAGAGCUUCUGCACUUGUUCGGGGCUUCUUGUUGUUGUUGUUAUUGUAAAACAGAAGCGUUACACAAGACAAGAGAGCUUGACAGCUUUCCCACAAUCCUCAGCAUGUGGGAAUAGCAAGUAACAAAGUGUUAACACCUGCCAACUGGUGGUUAGGUGUAAAUGUCUCUGUUAACAACAAACACUGCUGCUAGCAGUCAUCAGAGCAAAGCAGCAAAUCUGUUCCCUUCUCCAAUGCGGAAAACACCAAACAAUAACAUUAAAAAAAAAAAAAAAGGCACCUAAUUGCUUGAUUAAGAUGUAUCAGUGUUGGAAACUGCUGAUCUAGAACAUUGAAUCUCUGACAUUUACUUCACUCUUGAUUAAACACAAAUGUUUAAAACUAGCUAUUGUGCAGGCAGAAAGAAGCUCAGAGUACUGUGUACCAUCCAGGGAAUUGUGACAGUGAAACUUUCCACAAAGAAACUAAAACGAGGCCACCUUCUCUGAGCUGUUUCAUAAAAGCAUCAGCUGCUGAGACCCUCUGGCAAAAAAAGAAGGGAUGGAAGACCAAUGAGGAGGAAUUAGGAGUCAGAGGGUCAACUCUGUUGUUGAAUAGAUCCUGCAGCCAGAAAACAGCUUCUCCUUUCAAGACCAAAUUAGAUGAACUUCAGCUUCUGACAUCCAGGUGGAUAAACCUCUGCUACCAGGUAUCUUACUCAUCUUACUCAGAUGGCCUCUCAGCCUGCUUCUCAAUUAACUGAAUACUCUGAAUUCCUUAAGCUCCUGAUGCUUGCUUUAUAAAAUGCUGUAACCUAUUUUAUAGUUCAGCUUGUGCAGAACAGGACACACCAUCCAAGGGGAAACUUACAAAUAGUGCUAAGUAUUUCUAUUUUCAUGGAUCAUGUCAGCUCUUAUUUUUUGCUACAGCACAGCAGCAAAAAUUCAAGUUACAGGAAUUAUCUGUGAUGCCACCUAAGUCCUUCUGCAAGCCAUUGCUUUCCAAAAUACAAUUUAAACCAUACUGUGUUCCAGUAUAUACCAGUUUGGGUCUGGCUGUAUUAAAACACACUUGUUUGUCGCAAUGGAUAGAUUAAACUAGGUGAUCGCUCUUUACCUGGCCUUAUUGUUUAUCUCCUCACUAUUUUUUGCAUUGGACUUGACCAGAAGAUAAUACACAUCACUGAGUAGAUCACUGAUCAAGAUUUGCCUAUUCCCCCCUCCCAGUGUGUUGGGAAUAAAUUUACAAUAAAAGAGCCUGAAUGAAUUACA
rnacentral:lncRNA from 1 species